UGUGUGAGGCCCCCAGCUCCCAUCCCCCAGCAAGGGGCCUGCAAACCCACGGAGGGACAGGUUGUCUUGAGCUGGAGCCACAGGGAUGGGGGGACCUCAACUGUAGGGGUUAGGAUUAGGGUUAGGCUUUGAGGUUUCAGUUUAUGGAAUCUAGAUGGGUUUGGUCCUGGGAAAAUUCCAGGUCUGGGUUUUGUGGUUGGGGGUUGGUCUCAGGUGAGAUACAGCAGGUUUACAGGGUUAACGUUAGGGUUAGGGUUAGGGUUAGGCUUUCAGGUUUUGGGUUAUAGAAUAUAGAUGGGUUUGGUCCGGGGAAAAUUCCAGGUCUGGGUUUUGUGGUUGGGGGUUGGUCUCAGGUGAGAUGCAGCAGGUUUAAAGUGUUUGCAAGGUGUGUACAGACUCGUAUGGUGCUAUUGCUUGAAUGUGUUCUCCAGAUUUCAUGGUUUCGCAAUUUUUUUUCUUUUCUUUUUUUUUUUGAGAUGGUGUCUCGCUCUGUCAUCUAUCACCGAGGCUGGAGUGCAAUGGUGCGAUCUCGGCUCACUGCAACCUCUGCCUCCCAGGUUCAAGCGAUUCUCGCACCUCAGCCUCCCGGUAGCUAGCAUUGUAGCAGGACAAGCCGCAGACAAAAUUCCUCAGACACCGGGUUAAAGAAGUAAGGGCUUUAUUCGCCCGGGAGUGUCGGCACCCUUGCCUCUUAAGAACCGAGCUCCCCGAAAAAGAAAUUCCUGGCCCUUUUAAGUACUUACGACUCUAAUGGGUUCACCUGAAAGGGUCGUGAUAGAUGGAGCAAGCGUGGGGAACGUGACUGGGGGCUACAUGCAGCAGAUAACAGUACAGAAAGUUUUUCAGUGCUUCCUCAUGCAGUGUCUGGAAUUUACACAUAACACAAGUAGUUUAGGUCAGGAGUUAAUAUUAUUAUCAUGUUUAACCACCAGAGCCGGGUGGUGGCAUCAUGUUCGUCUAGCUAUUUAUCUGACUUCUAUUUUUUUUUUAGCUUUUUUGCUUUCUCCCUUUUUCCGUUUUAUAAACUAAGGAAGGGGUGUGUGGAAGGGAAGGGCAGCAGAAGAAGUGGUGGUCUCCUUACUUACUAUUACAGGCACCAGGCUUCAUUGCUGGCUAAUUUUUUUUUUUUUUUUUGUAUUUUUAGUAGAGAUGGGGUUUCACCAUGUUGGCCAGGCUGGUCUUGAACUCCGGACCUCAGGUGAUCGCCCGCCUCGGCCUCUGAAAGUGCUGGGAUUAAAAGGACAACGCACGGCGCCCAGCCAUGUGUUGGCAAUUUAAUCUCCAAAUUCAUGUCUUGAUUGGAGAUGUGGUCUUUGGGAGGUAAUUAGGAUUAGAUAAGGUCAUUAGGGUGGGUCCCAGUCAUGGGACUCGUGGCUUUAUAUGAUGAGGAAGAGAGACUGGAGCGGACACGCACUCUUGCCCUCUCCUCCCUUGCCGGCACUCUCGCUCUCCCCUCCCCUGCCAUGUGCAGCCCUCCAUUGGGCUGUGAUGCUCUAGGUCUCCCCAGCCACCAGAACUCGCCCUCCCCUCCCCGGCCAUGAGUGGACACGGACUCCCGCCCUCCCGCCAUGUGCCGCCCUCCACUGGGCGGGGAUGCUCUGGGCCAUGUGCUGCCUGGGGUCCAGGGCCCGCGACUCGUGGGCCUGGGCGCUGGGUGGGGCCGCGGGUGCGCGUCAGGGGCCAGGCUGGGCGCCCAGGUCUGCUAAGGGGCGGAGAAGACCGGCUUGGGCUCCGCGCAGAGGCUGCCAGGGGGCGGCGGUGCACCUCCCACCCGGGUCACCUCGGUGCCACCCAUGCCUGCCCCAGGGCAGGCGGACCCACGGCCCUCCACGCCCUCCCUCACUCUCGUCCCGCCCGGCUGCCGCUGUUCGCAUCCUCUCGGUAACUCCGUGGGGUCCCGCCCAUUCGGGCGACUGCCCAGGCUGCAGCCCACCAGCUAAUCUCGGCUAUCUUUCCUCACUCAGUUCUUCGCCUCCACCAGCUUCGGCUCUUUUCGUCACCCCUCUUUACUCCUCGUUCCUCUCCGUCACUUUCCGUCAUCUCCGAUGAGGCUCGGCCUGCUGCAUCUCCUUUCCUCUGUGUCGCGCUCUGACAAAUUUCGUGAAUCUUCGUCACUGUCCGCAGUUUCCGUUACUUUCCGUCAAUUCUCGCCACUUUCCGUCGCUCCCCGCCGCCCUUUACCUCCGCUCGGCUCUUCUCCGCCAGGCAUCGUCUACUUUCGUCACUCUCCGGUGCUCCCUACCCCACACUCCGGGUGGAGAAAGCCUCAGGGACUUUUCCUGCCCUUAGACCUUUUCCGUCACUCUCCGAUCCUGCUGUCUCUUCAGUCCCUGGUUAUUUGUGGUCUGCCCGUGACUCUGUCCUCCUCCCUUCACUCCUGGGAGAGUGGCCUGGUCUCUCCUGAGAGGCCUCUCCCCACUACCCGGCCUGACUGAUGGUGAUAGUGCCUCGCUCUGUCAUGUAUCACCCAGGCUGGAGUGCAAUGGUGCGAUCUCGGCUCACUGCAACCUCUGCCUCCCAGGUUCAAGCGAUUCUCGCACCUCAGCCUCCUGGUAGCUGGCAUUGUAGCAGGACAAGCCACAGAAAUAUUCCUCAGACACCGGGUUAAAGAAAGAAGGGCUUUCUUCGGCCAGGAGGGUCAGCACCCUUGCGUCUUAAGACCCGAGCUCUCCGAAAAAGGAAUUCCUGGGCCUUUUAAGGGUUUACGACUCUAAGAGGUUCACAUGAAAGGGUCGUGAUAGAUGGAACAAGCGUGGGGAAUGUGACUGGGGGCUACAUGCAUCAGAUAACAGUACAGAAAGUUUUUCAGUGCUUCCUCAUACAGUGUCUGGAAUUUGCAGAUAACACAAAUAGUUUA